rnacentral:rRNA from 1 species
UGGGGAAUUUUGGACAAUGGGCGAAAGCCUGAUCCAGCAAUGCCGCGUGUGUGAAGAAGGCCUUCGGGUUGUAAAGCACUUUUGUCCGGAAAGAAAUCCUUGGCUCUAAUACAGUCGGGGGAUGACGGUACCGGAAGAAUAAGCACCGGCUAACUACGUGCCAGCAGCCGCGGUAAUACGUAGGGUGCAAGCGUUAAUCGGAAUUACUGGGCGUAAAGCGUGCGCAGGCGGUUUGCUAAGACCGAUGUGAAAUCCCCGGGCUCAACCUGGGAACUGCAUUGGUGACUGGCAGGCUAGAGUAUGGCAGAGGGGGGUAGAAUUCCACGUGUAGCAGUGAAAUGCGUAGAGAUGUGGAGGAAUACCGAUGGCGAAGGCAGCCCCCUGGGCCAAUACUGACGCUCAUGCACGAAAGCGUGGGGAGCAAACAGGAUUAGAUACCCUGGUAGCCCACGCCCUAAACGAUGUCAACUAGUUGUUGGGGAUUCAUUUCCUUAGUAACGUAGCUAACGCGUGAAGUUGACCGCCUGGGGAGUACGGUCGCAAGAUUAAAACUCAAAGGAAUUGACGGGGUCAUAGCUGUUUCCU